rnacentral:rRNA from 1 species
AUUGAACGCUGGCGGCAUGCUUUACACAUGCAAGUCGAACGGUAACAGGUCUUCGGAUGCUGACGAGUGGCGAACGGGGGAGUAAUGCAUCGGAACGUGCCCAGUCGUGGGGGAUAACGCAGCGAAAGCUGUGCUAAUACCGGAUACGAUCUCUGGAUGAAAGCGGGGGACCGUAAGGCCCCGCGCGAUUGGAGCGGCCGAUGUCAGAUUAGGUAGUUGGUGGGGUAAAGGCCCACCAAGCCAACGAUCGGUAGCUGGUCUGAGAGGACGACCAGCCACACUGGGACUGAGACACGGCCCAGACUCCUACGGGAGGCAGCAGUGGGGAAUUUUGGACAAUGGGCGCAAGCCUGAUCCAGCAAUGCCGCGUGCAGGAAGAAGGCCUUCGGGUUGUAAACUGCUUUUGUACGGAACGAAACGGUCUGGGUUAAUACCCUGGGCUAAUGACGGUACCGUAAGAAUAAGCACCGGCUAACUACGUGCCAGCCGCCGCAGUAACAC